CAGAUAACAGGGGAGGAAUUAUCAAUGGUCUGAUACAGGUGAGUUAUCGAUGGUCUGACACAGGUGAGUGGUCUGUGGUCUGACACAGGUGAGCUAUCAGUGGUCUGACACAGGUGAGGGGUCCGUGGUCUGACACAGGUGAGUUAUCGAUGGUCUGACACAGGUGAGUGGUCCGUGGUCUGACACAGGUGAGCGGUCCAUGGUCUGACACAGGUGAGGGGUCCGUGGUCUGACACAGGUGAGGGGUCCGUGGUCUGACACAGGUGAGUUAUCGAUGGUCU